UCGUAAUUCCCCGGUCCGUUCCGGCCACUGCAAACAUAGGAGGAGGAGGAGGAGGAACCGAGUGAACCGGUGUGCUGAUGUUGUCGGUAGUCAGUCGGAAUUCUAGCGCGUAUGCACGUGGGUUUACCCAGUACGCGCCUUUCCUUUCGGUCCAUACACCAGGAAGAAGGAUAUGGCAACACGAGGAGAAAGAUAGAAAGAGGGGAAACAAAUAUGGCUGAAACAAAAAUCGUUCUAGUUCGGGAUAAAUUUGACAUAACAGCGGCAUGGAAGGAGAUGGAUAGAUAGCAUGAAAGAAGAAAAAGAAGGAAAGAAAAAAAUGAGAAAGACAGGCGAAGGGGAAGAAGCGGUCUCCGUGGAACUGAAUUUAGAACGACGAAAGAGCUACUCUUGUCUCAAGGAAAAUGAAAUUCUGGCCUCCGUUAUCGGGUUCACCACGAAAAAGGAUUUUAAGUGCAGCAAAGUGAACGUACUAGGACGGAAGGCAUUAUCCGGGCGACAAUACACCCUAUGAAAUAGUAAAUACGAAAGCAAGGCUA
rnacentral:lncRNA from 1 species